rnacentral:misc_RNA from 1 species
AAAAGUCGUAACAAGGUCUCCGUUGGUGAACCAGCGGAGGGAUCAUUACCGAGUUUACAACUCCCAAACCCCUGUGAACACAUACCUUUUUACAGUUGCUUCGGCGGGUUUUUGCCCUGGAAACAGGUGCCCGCCGAGGGACCCAAAACUCUUUGUUUUCUUGCAGAGCAUGUCUGAGUGGAAUCAUAUCAAAUGAAUCAAAACUUUCAACAACGGAUCUCUUGGUUCUGG